rnacentral:tRNA from 1 species
UGGAGAGGUGGCCGAGCGGUUGAAGGCGCACGCCUGGAACGCGUGUAUAUCUGAAAGGGUAUCGUGGGUUCGAAUCCCACCCUCUCCGUC